AGCAGCCGCGGUAAUUCCAGCUCCAAUAGCAUAUAUUAAAGUUGUUGCAGUUAAAAAGCUCGUAGUUGAAUUUUAGGCCUGACCGGGCGGUCCGUCUCUGGCGAGUACUGUUCUGUUGUCGGGUCUAUCCUUCUGGUGAGCCGGUAUGUCCUUUAUUGGGUGUGUCGGGGAACCAGGACCAUUACCUUGAAAAAAAUUGAGUGUUUAAAGCGGGCUUUUGCUUGAAUAGAUUAGCAUGGAAUAAUAGAAUAGGACGUUGGUUCUAUUUUGUUGGUCUAGGACCACCGUAAUGAUUAAUAGGGAUAGUUGGGGGCAUUAGUAUUCAAUUGUCAGAGGUGAAAUUCUUGGAUUUAUUGAAGACUAACUACUGCGAAAGCAUUUGCCAAGGAUGUUUUCAUUAANCAAGAACGAAAGUUGGGGGAAUCGAAGACGAUCAGAUACCGUCGUAGUCUUAACCAUAAACUAUGCCGACUAGGAAUCGGGCGACGUUAUUUCAUGACUCGCUCGGCGUCCUAGUGGG
rnacentral:rRNA from 1 species